UUAAGCGACUAAGCGUACACGGUGGAUGCCCUGGCAGUCAGAGGCGAUGAAGGACGUGCUAAUCUGCGAAAAGCGUCGGUAAGGUGAUAUGAACCGUUACAGCCGGCGAUGUCCGAAUGGGGAAACCCAGUGCAAUUCGUUGCACUAUCGUUAACUGAAUACAUAGGUUAACGAGGCGAACCGGGGGAACUGAAACAUCUAAGUACCCCGAGGAAAAGAAAUCAACCGAGAUUCCCCCAGUAGCGGCGAGCGAACGGGGAGCAGCCCAGAGUCUGAAUCAGCUUGUGUGUUAGUGGAACGGUCUGGAAAGUCCGACGGUACAGGGUGAUAGUCCCGUACACCAAAAUGCACAGGUUGUGAACUCGAAGAGUAGGGCGGGACACGUGGUAUCCUGUCUGAAUAUGGGGGGACCAUCCUCCAAGGCUAAAUACUCCUGACUGACCGAUAGUGAACCAGUACCGUGAGGGAAAGGCGAAAAGAACCCCGGCGAGGGGAGUGAAAAAGAACCUGAAACCGUGUACGUACAAGCAGUGGGAGCACCUUCGGGUGUGACUGCGUACCUUUUGUAUAAUGGGUCAGCGACUUAUAUUCUGUAGCAAGGUUAACCGUAUAGGGGAGCCGCAGGGAAACCGAGUCUUAACUGGGCGUUAAGUUGCAGGGUAUAGACCCGAAACCCGGUGAUCUAGCCAUGGGCAGGUUGAAGGUUGGGUAACACUAACUGGAGGACCGAACCGACUAAUGUUGAAAAAUUAGCGGAUGACUUGUGGCUGGGGGUGAAAGGCCAAUCAAACCGGGAGAUAGCUGGUUCUCCCCGAAAGCUAUUUAGGUAGCGCCUCGUGAACUCAUCUUCGGGGGUAGAGCACUGUUUCGGCUAGGGGGUCAUCCCGACUUACCAACCCGAUGCAAACUACGAAUACCGAAGAAUGUUAUCACGGGAGACACACGGCGGGUGCUAACGUCCGUCGUGAAGAGGGAAACAACCCAGACCGCCAGCUAAGGUCCCAAAGUCAUGGUUAAGUGGGAAACGAUGUGGGAAGGCACAGACAGCCAGGAUGUUGGCUUAGAAGCAGCCAUCAUUUAAAGAAAGCGUAAUAGCUCACUGGUCGAGUCGGCCUGCGCGGAAGAUGUAACGGGGCUAAACCAUGCACCGAAGCUGCGGCAGCGACACGAUGUGUUGUUGGGUAGGGGAGCGUUCUGUAAGCCUGCGAAGGUGACCUGUGAGGGUUGCUGGAGGUAUCAGAAGUGCGAAUGCUGACAUAAGUAACGAUAAAGCGGGUGAAAAGCCCGCUCGCCGGAAGACCAAGGGUUCCUGUCCAACGUUAAUCGGGGCAGGGUGAGUCGACCCCUAAGGCGAGGCCGAAAGGCGUAGUCGAUGGGAAACAGGUUAAUAUUCCUGUACUUGGUGUUACUGCGAAGGGGGGACGGAGAAGGCUAUGUUAGCCGGGCGACGGUUGUCCCGGUUUAAGCAUGUAGGCUGGUUAUCCAGGCAAAUCCGGAUAAUCAAGGCUGAGGUGUGAUGACGAGGCACUACGGUGCUGAAGUAACAAAUGCCCUGCUUCCAGGAAAAGCCUCUAAGCAUCAGGUAACAUCAAAUCGUACCCCAAACCGACACAGGUGGUCAGGUAGAGAAUACCAAGGCGCUUGAGAGAACUCGGGUGAAGGAACUAGGCAAAAUGGUGCCGUAACUUCGGGAGAAGGCACGCUGGUGUGUAGGUGAAGUCCCUGCGGAUGGAGCUGAGACCAGUCGAAGAUACCAGCUGGCUGCAACUGUUUAUUAAAAACACAGCACUGUGCAAACACGAAAGUGGACGUAUACGGUGUGACGCCUGCCCGGUGCCGGAAGGUUAAUUGAUGGGGUUAUCCGUAAGGAGAAGCUCUUGAUCGAAGCCCCGGUAAACGGCGGCCGUAACUAUAACGGUCCUAAGGUAGCGAAAUUCCUUGUCGGGUAAGUUCCGACCUGCACGAAUGGCGUAAUGAUGGCCAGGCUGUCUCCACCCGAGACUCAGUGAAAUUGAACUCGCUGUGAAGAUGCAGUGUACCCGCGGCAAGACGGAAAGACCCCGUGAACCUUUACUAUAGCUUGACACUGAACAUUGAGCCUUGAUGUGUAGGAUAGGUGGGAGGCUUUGAAGCGUGGACGCCAGUCUGCGUGGAGCCAACCUUGAAAUACCACCCUUUAAUGUUUGAUGUUCUAACGUUGGCCCCUGACCGGGGUUGCGGACAGUGUCUGGUGGGUAGUUUGACUGGGGCGGUCUCCUCCCAAAGCGUAACGGAGGAGCACGAAGGUUAGCUAAUCCUGGUCGGACAUCAGGAGGUUAGUGCAAUGGCAUAAGCUAGCUUGACUGCGAGCGUGACGGCGCGAGCAGGUGCGAAAGCAGGUCAUAGUGAUCCGGUGGUUCUGAAUGGAAGGGCCAUCGCUCAACGGAUAAAAGGUACUCCGGGGAUAACAGGCUGAUACCGCCCAAGAGUUCAUAUCGACGGCGGUGUUUGGCACCUCGAUGUCGGCUCAUCACAUCCUGGGGCUGAAGUAGGUCCCAAGGGUAUGGCUGUUCGCCAUUUAAAGUGGUACGCGAGCUGGGUUUAGAACGUCGUGAGACAGUUCGGUCCCUAUCUGCCGUGGGCGCUGGAGAAUUGAGGGGGGCUGCUCCUAGUACGAGAGGACCGGAGUGGACGCAUCACUGGUGUUCGGGUUGUCAUGCCAAUGGCACUGCCCGGUAGCUAAAUGCGGAAGAGAUAAGUGCUGAAAGCAUCUAAGCACGAAACUUGCCCCGAGAUGAGUUCUCCCUGAGACUUUAAGUCUCCUGAAGGAACGUUAAAGACGAUGACGUUGAUAGGCCGGGUGUGUAAGCGCAGCGAUGCGUUGAGCUAACCGGUACUAAUGAACCGUGAGGCUUAACCUU
rnacentral:rRNA from 1 species